GAUGAACGCUGGCGGCGUGCCUAAUACAUGCAAGUCGAGCGAACGUACGAGAAGCUUGCUUCUCUGAUGUUAGCGGCGGACGGGUGAGUAACACGUGGAUAACCUACCUAUAAGACUGGGAUAACUUCGGGAAACCGGAGCUAAUACCGGAUAAUAUUUUGAACCGCAUGGUUCAAAAGUGAAAGACGGUCUUGCUGUCACUUAUAGAUGGAUCCGCGCUGCAUUAGCUAGUUGGUAAGGUAACGGCUUACCAAGGCAACGAUGCAUAGCCGACCUGAGAGGGUGAUCGGCCACACGGGAACUGAGACACGGUCCAGACUCCUACGGGAGGCAGCAGUAGGGAAUCUUCCGCAAUGGGCGAAAGCCUGACGGAGCAAAGCCGCGUGAGUGAUGAAGGUCUUCGGAUCGUAAAACUCUGUUAUUAGGGAAGAACAUAUGUGUAAGUAACUGUGCACAUCUUGACGGUACCUAAUCAGAAAGCCACGGCUAACUACGUG
rnacentral:rRNA from 1 species